rnacentral:rRNA from 1 species
GACGAGGGGUCCAAGCGUUGUUCGGAAUCACUGGGCUUAAAGGGCGCGUAGGCGGCUUGCCAAGUCAGUGGUGAAAUCCUGCAGCUUAACUGUAGAAGUGCCUUUGAUACUGGCAAGCUCGAGGGAGGUAGGGGUCUGUGGAACUUCUGGUGGAGCGGUGAAAUGCGUUGAUAUUGGGAAGAACACCGGUGGCGAAGGCGGCGACCUGGUCCGUGACUGACGCUGAGGCGCGAAAGCGUGGGGAGCAAACAGG